GGAUAACACCUGGAAACAGAUGCUAAUACCGCAUAACAACUUGGACCGCAUGGUCCGAGUUUGAAAGAUGGCUUCGGCUAUCACUUUUGGAUGGUCCCGCGGCGUAUUAGCUAGAUGGUGAGGUAACGGCUCACCAUGGCAAUGAUACGUAGCCGACCUGAGAGGGUAAUCGGCCACAUUGGGACUGAGACACGGCCCAAACUCCUACGGGAGGCAGCAGUAGGGAAUCUUCCACAAUGGACGAAAGUCUGAUGGAGCAACGCCGCGUGAGUGAAGAAGGGUUUCGGCUCGUAAAACUCUGUUGUUAAAGAAGAACAUAUCUGAGAGUAACUGUUCAGGUAUUGACGGUAUUUAACCAGAAAGCCACGGCUAACUACGUGCCAGCAGCCGCGGUAAUACGUAGGUGGCAAGCGUUGUCCGGAUUUAUUGGGCGUAAAGCGAGCGCAGGCGGUUUUUUAAGUCUGAUGUGAAAGCCUUCGGCUCAACCGAAGAAGUGCAUCGGAAACUGGGAAACUUGAGUGCAGAAGAGGACAGUGGAACUCCAUGUGUAGCGGUGAAAUGCGUAGAUAUAUGGAAGAACACCAGUGGCGAAGGCGGCUGUCUGGUCUGUAACUGACGCUGAGGCUCGAAAGUAUGGGUAGCAAACAGGAUUAGAUACCCUGGUAGUCCAUACCGUAAACGAUGAAUGCUAAGUGUUGGAGGGUUUCCGCCCUUCAGUGCUGCAGCUAACGCAUUAAGCAUUCCGCCUGGGGAGUACGGCCGCAAGGCUGAAACUCAAAGGAAUUGACGGGGGCCCGCACAAGCGGUGGAGCAUGUGGUUUAAUUCGAAGCUACGCGAAGAACCUUACCAGGUCUUGACAUACUAUGCAAAUCUAAGAGAUUAGACGUUCCCUUCGGGGACAUGGAUACAGGUGGUGCAUGGUUGUCGUCAGCUCGUGUCGUGAGAUGUUGGGUUAAGUCCCGCAACGAGCGCAACCCUUAUUAUCAGUUGCCAGCAUUAAGUUGGGCACUCUGGUGAGACUGCCGGUGACAAACCGGAGGAAGGUGGGGAUGACGUCAAAUCAUCAUGCCCCUUAUGACCUGGGCUACACACGUGCUACAAUGGAUGGUACAACGAGUUGCGAACUCGCGAGAGUAAGCUAAUCUCUUAAAGCCAUUCUCAGUUCGGAUUGUAGGCUGCAACUCGCCUACAUGAAGUCGGAAUCGCUAGUAAUCGCGGAUCAGCAUGCCGCGGUGAAUACGUUCCCGGGCCUUGUACACACCGC
rnacentral:rRNA from 2 species